CGUCGAGGGAGGCGGGGCUGACCGCGAGGGCGCGAAAGUUGGCAAUGCCUCCGGGAGCCUGGAGUCGGAGGUUUGCCACCUUCCGGACCCUCGUGGCCAGGAAUGUUUCUCAUUACCCU
rnacentral:precursor_RNA from 15 species